rnacentral:rRNA from 1 species
UACGAAGGGGGCGAGCGUUGUUCGGAAUUACUGGGCGUAAAGGGCGCGUAGGCGGCCGAUCAAGUCAGAUGUGAAAGUCCUGGGCUUAACCGUGGGGACUUGCAUUUGAUACUGUAUUUGGACGUUGAAUUCGGGAGAAGGAUUAGCGGAAGUUCCAAGUUGUAGAGGUGUAAAGUUCGAUUAGGAUGAUUAGGGGAAGGAA